UCCCUUGUGUCUCAGCUGUAAAGAAUCCGCCCGUAAUGUGGGAGACCUGGGUUCAAUCCCCAGAUUGGGAA
rnacentral:tRNA from 1 species